rnacentral:rRNA from 1 species
UACGAAUGGAGCGAGCGUUGUUCGGAAUCACUGGGCGUAAAGCGUGCGCAGGCGGUUGUGAAAGUCAGAAGUGAAAGCCCAGGGCUUAACCUUGGAAUUGCUUUUGAAACUCCACGACUAGAGUACUGGAGGGGUUGGCGGAAUUUCGAGUGUAGCAGUGAAAUGCGUAGAUAUUCGAAGGAACACCGAUGGCGUAGGCAGCCAACUGGACAGUUACUGACGCUCAUGCACGAAAGCGUGGGGAUCAAACAGG